rnacentral:rRNA from 1 species
UACGUAGGGGGCAAGCGUUGUCCGGAAUCAUUGGGCGUAAAGAGCGUGUAGGCGGCUUGGCAAGUCUGGUGUGAAAUCUUGCGGCUCAACCGCAAGCGGUCACUGGAAACUGCCUCGCUAGAGUCCGGAAGAGGAGAGCGGGAUUCCUGGUGUAGCGGUGAAAUGCGCAGAUAUCAGGAGGAACACCGGUGGCGAAGGCGGAUCUCUGGGCCUUACCUGACGCUCAGGUGCGAAAGCUAGGGGAGCGAACAGG